AUGUCAUUUUUCUGAAAAUCGUCUUUUGAAAAUCAUAAAUGUGAAAUUUUUCGUCUUUGUAGAAGUACGCUUCCAUUAUUAUAGAAAAUAAUAUAUAUGUGACGGUCGCUUGCUUAAAAUAAACAAUUACUUUUUUUAUUAACCCUAGUUAGUUAACUCUAAUUCCCAAACGGAUUCUGUAAUUGUUUCCUUCUCUUUGUUCAUUUUCUCUGAUUUUCCCGUUGUUUGGAAGCUCCUUACUUUUCUCCGCCAUAGCCAAACUUCCAACUCCAUCGAUAAGAUGCCAGUGAGCUCUCACGCAUUGAAGAUCGCCACCUGCCAACGGAGUCGACGGACAGAAGAAGAAGCUCGUCUUCCGGAAACGGAGUCCCUACCGAACCGACGGCUGACGGAGACCGGCCAUGGAAACUGGUGACGUAGCUUGAGGUGAAAGAUUCUCUCCUGAGGUUUUGGGCUUCCUGCAGCUUGCUAUAGAGAAUGUGUCGUUGAAUCUGUUUGAGAGAGGCUGAAUCAGUGUUUCUUCGCAAGUUUUGUCUGUGGAUGCUUGAUGGUGAAUUCAUAGGUUAUCGACAUUACAGGCUGCAAAUACCACGACAAUCUCUGGAAGGUGCCUUGGCUUUUAAGAAGGAAAAUGAUCAAGAAGCUAAAACUCCUAGAUGCUUCUUGAAUGUUUGAGUGAAACCUGAUUAAUGAAAGGCAAAGCUUGCUCUGCACAGCCUGUUCCAGUCAUGUAAGAAACUGGUUUUCAGUAACCAGCUUGAUUGAAUAGCUGUGCGAUUGUUGAGGAUGCAAACGUUAUUGCAGCAGGAAGAAACUGGUGUAAUGAGACCCGAAAUGUAUGUUUAUCAUUGCUUCUCUAGCCCCUUCUAUAAAUUUUGGCCAAUGGCACUUUGUUGUUGUUCUGAAUUGAUACCCUUGAGAGUCUGUUCAUAGUUUAUUGUUGAUAUUUUAUGUUCCUCCCUUAAUUAUUUCUUUAUGAUAAAAUAAUAUAUAUGCACAAAUCGGUUAAUAAUUGGGAUAUCCAUGCAUUAUAAUGAUGUAAAGGGUUUGUUCUCAUUAUUCUUUCAUAAAAUGUGGUUGUGGCUGACAACAAUCGUAAUCUUGCUUUAUUAUUCCAAUGUUUGACGUUUUUCAUUUGCCACUAUGCUCUGUCUAGAACCAUAUUGCAGUCUUUAUCUACUUUGGUGAAGUUCCUAAUGGUGUUUUCUUAGGCUGUGUCAUAGCUGGAUUUAUGAUAUACUUUUUUGGCAUGAAAAUGCAUUGUCAGUAUUGUACUGCCUUUAAUGCUGUAAGAACCUGCUCCUUGGCCACAUUCCUUCAUACAAUGACCAAAUUUACACAAAUAGUUUGAGCCUGGUUUCUAGAAGACAUCUCUUAUCUAAUAGUCUGUUGCUGUCAUUCAUAGUUAUGUGGUGACAAUACACAACUAUAAAUGAUUUUGUGGACAGAAAUGGAUAGUUGAUGCCAAAAUAUUUGCCCUGUAGUAUCUUUUUGGAGAAUGAUUCAAAACCAAAGGCACCUUGCUUCAGGGAUAUAUAUAACAAAAUACUGUUAGAAAAGGUGGAGUGAGACUCUUGGCAACUUCAAGUGAGCAUCUUGUUGACUUUAGACAUGCAGAGAUGGAAGCUCUUGAUGUUCCUCUUGAACAGUGGCAGAGGACUGGAUUUUUGGCUACGGAAGUUAUAGAGAAGCUUUCAGCAUUCUGCUUCAUGUGACAUAUGAACCAUAAUUUGUGAGCAUUGUCGAUCAUGGGCAUAAAUGAAGUAUAUAACGGCUGUGCAAAUGAUAAACUUGGACGCGGUUGCUCAAUACUUUCUUUGCAUUCAAGUAGCUCCAAGGCAUGACUAGGCUGAGCUAGGGAAAAUGGUGAAUCAUUGAAAUUAUUGGCUGGUUUGUACAAGAAUUUCAUCUAUGUUCCCCCUUUCAUGUGAGGCUGAUAGGUACAGAGAAAAGGAUGCUGGUGCUUCUACCGUCCAGAGUGACGGUUCACGAUGGCCAAAAGUGAUGACAGACACACCAGUGCCAUGAGACUGAUGAGACUUUGCCAUUACUUACGACAAAAGGACAAUUAAGUAUAACCUCCGUGCCUCUUCGAGCAAUGUUCAGAGAUCAACUGAAUUCGAAGUUUCCCAUUUCGUACUCUUGUGCAUCUUAGCCUUGAUUGCCAUCUUCUCCAAAGUAUGGGAAUUACGAGCUAGAAACUUAAAUAGAAAAAGCUACUGUUUCAGCUCCGAAGGUCAAUUGGAAUACAAACUCUAUUCUGCAAAAAAGAGAUUUUUUCAAUGAAAUAGACUCUGACUUCUAACCACCUGAACUCAUCUAAUCUGUUAUAGCACGAGAUUUUUCUUCCCAGUUGUAAAGUAUCAAAGGCGGCAGUUACUUGCAAAUUCUUCUUUGAUUUCAUUCGUGUCGACAUCACAAACUUAGUCACCUGGAGCAAUGUAAAUUAUUAUUCUUUCAUGUCGUCA